GACGAACGCUGGCGGCGUGCUUAACACAUGCAAGUCGAACGGAAAGGCCCUGCUUUUGUGGGGUGCUCGAGUGGCGAACGGGUGAGUAACACGUGAGUAACCUGCCCUUGACUUUGGGAUAACUUCAGGAAACUGGGGCUAAUACCGGAUAGGAGCUCCUGCUGCAUGGUGGGGGUUGGAAAGUUUCGGCGGUUGGGGAUGGAUUCGCGGCUUAUCAGCUUGUUGGUGGGGUAGUGGCUUACCAAGGCUUUGACGGGUAGCCGGCCUGAGAGGGUGACCGGCCACAUGGGGACUGCGAGACGGCCCAGACUCCUACGGGAGGCAGCAGUGGGGAAUAUUGCACAAUGGGCGGAAGCCUGAGGCAGCAACGCCGCGUGCGGGAUGACGGCCUUCGGGUUGUAAACCGCAUUCGCCUGUGACGAAGCGGGAGUGACGGUAAUGGGUAAAGAAGCACCGGCUAACUACGUG
rnacentral:rRNA from 1 species